CGAGAGAUUCUUCACCCAGGUCAUUAUUUGUGAAGUUGCUCCUCAUGGACACUUAACAGUUGUGAGUAGAUCAUGAUGCACUGAACCUUGAACCAAGUUGAGACACUGUCAUUAAGAAUUCCAUCAAUUCCACCAAUUCCCAACAAACACUCACAGAACACACAAGGAGGUUGGAAGUGUUAUAAAAUAUUUAUUUCAGGUUUGAAUCUGUAGACAGUUUUUUCCUUAUAAACCCCAAACAAACAUCUUAUGUGGUUAAUAGACGAAUAAAGAAAUGGAAAUAAAUAGAUGCCUUUAAAGCUUCUUUAUCUUCAUGAACGGUGCAGGAACCCCGAGAGAUCUCCAACAACCUCCAUAGUGAGGAACACGGUGUUAAACAGUGUGUUGAUUUACAUCAACGUCAAUAAAAUAAAAAAAUAAAAAUCAUUUAGCAUAACUUUAGCAGAGGUCUUGAGUUAUGACACUGAGGUGUGUGUGUGUGUGUGUGUGUGUGUGUGUGUGUGUGUGUGUGUGUGUGUGUGUGUGU